GAUGAACGCUAGCGGCAGGCUUAACACAUGCAAGUCGAGGGGCAGCACGAUAGCAAUAUUGGUGGCGACCGGCAAACGGGUGCGGAACACGUACAGAACCUACCUUGAUCUGGGGCAUAGCCCGAAGAAAUUCGGAUUAACUCCCCAUAACAUACACGAAUGGCAUCAUUUGAGUAUUAAAAAUUUAUUGGAUCGAGAUGGCUGUGCGUCCCAUUAGCUAGUUGGUAGGGUAACGGCCUACCAAGGCGACGAUGGGUAGCUGGUGUGAGAGCACGACCAGCCACACGGGCACUGAGACACGGGCCCGACUCCUACGGGAGGCAGCAGUGAGGAAUAUUGGUCAAUGGACGCAAGUCUGAACCAGCCAUGCCGCGUGAAGGAUGAAGGCCUUCUGGGUUGUAAACUUCUUUUACCUGGGAAGAAACCUCAAUUUUCUAAUUGAGUUGACGGUACCAGAGGAAUAAGCACCGGCUAACUCCGUGCCAGCAGCCGCGGUAAUACGGAGGGUGCAAGCGUUAUCCGGAUUUACUGGGUUUAAAGGGUGUGUAGGCGGGUCUUUAAGUCAGUGGUGAAAUCUCCGAGCUCAACUUGGAAACUGCCAUUGAUACUAUUG
rnacentral:rRNA from 1 species